UUUCACUUCCUCCUGAAGAACUCCCUUUAGCAUCUCCUGUGAGGCAAAGUCAGUGGUGAUGAACUUCUUCAGCUUUUGUUUAUCUGGAAAACUCUUUAUCUCUCCUUCAAUUCUGAAGGACAGCUUUGUGAGCUCUAUGAUUGCUGUUUUGUACUUUGCUCAUGGAUUGCUUUCCUGAACCAGUGAGCAUCUUUAUGAGGGUUUUUUUGAACUCUCUAUCAGGAAAGUUGAAAAGAGGCCACAGAAUUUCCUGAAAACGUCUCCAGCAGAGUAACUAACUUGACCAGUCUGACCCGAGAGACACGGCAGGAAGACUCCCACCACACGGCUGCUGUCAGCUGCUGGAGCACCUGGGCCCAGAGCUCCGGACAGAGAGGAUUCUCCAAACUGGAGGUCAUGCCACUCUGCCUCAAAGCAGUGUGCAUUUUAAAUCUGACUGUCACAGAGAACUUAAGAGAUGGUCCCUCUUCCCAAAAUUCUGAAAUAAAAUAAUGGCGUUGGUCAGA